GGCGGCAUGGCCAAGCGGUAAGGCAGGGGAC
rnacentral:tRNA from 1 species